rnacentral:lncRNA from 1 species
GGAGAUGGGACGAUUUCUCAGCGUGGUGGAGAAAAGUUUCGAAUCGGUGCUCCAUCACCAACUUUCAUUUAGGGCCAAAAGGAAGUAAAUUAAAUGUGAUUGGGCAAGACAAGUGCGCUCACAACAAUGUGUUCUGUUAAUAUGAUGGGACGCUUCCUCUUAAUUGUGUUCGAAAUCUUAGACUCCAAGAUAUUUCAUGAAUAUUGUGGUGGUUGAUUCGGAACAAGAUCCUCUGCUGGUGUGAGUAUUAUUAAGUUUUUAAGUAUAUUUUGUUAUGUAUUUUUUAGUGAUAGUAUAUGGAUAAAAUUUAAUUUAUUUAUUUAUUUUUAUUAAUAAUCAAUCAGUAAUUGAAUUAUUUGCUCAUGAUAUGAUCAGAUCAUGAGAAAAUCUUAAACCGAUUGAUUCUGGUUAUGGUUUCACAACAUUCACCGGGAGGCAGUACUAACUUAUAGGGUCGGUAAUUUUAGCAUCGGUCACUAAUGCCACGUGUUCGUUUUUCACUACUUUAAAUGUUUUUCCCCACGUGGUUGUUGAGGAUUCAAGAAAGAACAAAUUCCGCUCUACUCUUAUAACUGGCAGCGCACAUGUUAAUUAAGGUGAAAAUUCUUGCGUGCAUUGCGCCACACACAUCAACUUAUUUUUGUGUGUUCAUUUACGCUUCGAGCUAAUAGACAGUGGAUAUUAUUAUAUUAAUAUUAAAAUUUGCAAUAAUUCAUUUUUGCCUCUACUUAUAUAAUAACAUAUUAAAAGGCACAUUUUUUUUUGGUUCACUAAACACGUUUAAAGUAUUUAUUAAAUCUUUGAAAUCAAAUUGGUAAUUGUAGUACUAAUUAACACAGUCGAAUACUCAGUUCUAAGCAAAUCUUUGAUUCAUUGAAUGCUAGUUUAAUUAUACGCUCAUCCUUUUAAUCUUCUUAUUGAGUUGAGGAUUUGGUUAAUGUAUCCAAUACUUCUAGAACGCUUGGAUUAUACAAGGAAGCAUCCACAUCCAUAUGCCUGCGCAUUUUUCGGCGAACUUUGAUAUCGAAUCCAAAUGCGAGGAGCAAGCAAUUUUAGCACUGCAAAUAAUCAGCAAACCGAUUCCAUGGGCUGAUUACAGCGAUGCAUCGUGAACGCUCUGACUUUUGUAAAAGGCAGCCUUGAUUAUUACAUAAUAAAUCUAUGAUUUUUGGCCAUUCAUGGAAAGUAAAGGUGGUACUGAUGAGUGCUUUUUAUGUCUCAACUUUUGGUGAUUGUGAUUCUAUUACGCAGAAUUUUGUGCAGAGCUGUAAGUUCAGUCGGCUAUGUAAAUAUGUAAUAAGGCAAAUGCUAAGUUACAAUAAUUGUAACAUACAUUCUUCAUGUGAACCACAUAAAUUAUGGGUCCUACAAUUUUGUGUGGUUCACAUGAGGAAUGUAUGUUACAAUUAUUGUAACUUAGAGGCUCCCAUGUAAUAAAUUUGACUGCGAUCAGUACCCUUUUUAGCUAUGUAUAAUAUUAGAAAAAAAAG